rnacentral:lncRNA from 1 species
UUCGUAUUCUAGCCAGAUAAAGGGGAUGUCCAACCACUUGGGCUUUGAGCGUCAUUCAACUGAUCGACGUUGGUAUUCAAUUAUUAAUUGCGAAGAAUGCAUAUCGUUCCAUAUUUGUAUGCACGCAGUGAUCACCUUAUGAUUACUUAUUAUUAUUGUCACUUCAUCAAGCGCGUACGCAGAGAAAAACGUAACAAUUGGAGAUCUUGCUUGCAGCAAUGUACCUACACCUUUGUGAUCCGAACAUGGGCGAAAGGCGUCGUGGUGCGUGAAACUGUGAAAUACGGUAACCUUUCACAGGCUACUGACCCAACGAGUGGCCAACGAUGGUAACCAAACGAUCGUGGAAGUGAUCAAUAAAUAACUAGACCUUCGUUUUCGCUUGAGUGGCAAAGUAACGGCAGAGGUAGCACUCAACAGCACACCCGUUGCCCAUCCACCAACGGGUGCCUGAUUGAUUGAUUGAUAUGACCGAAGAGAUGGCUUUCUGAGCUUUGAUACGCACUGGAGGUGGCUGUACCAUCUUAAUCUCUACCUGAUGCUAUUGACGUUGGCGUUAUCAUGCUAUGCCCAUGUGCCAAAACUGUUUCGCAGCCAGUAGUAGUACCCAAAUGUUAAACAAAAGAAAAAAACGGCCAUUCAUCCCCUUUAACUUUCCUUUGUCCAUAGGCUGCCACGCGUCUAAAUCUAUAAAUCUCCUGAUAUAUUCUUCAAUGCACAUCAAUGGUUUUCACUUACGGCAUGCGUCUUUACGAUGCUACUACGGAAUUUACUGCAGCAGGCACUUUAAUUAAAAGACUUUACUUGACAGCGGUCGACAGCCACAUUUUUCUCGUAGUUGUUGUUAAGGCUUUUUCAUCACCUCAGCUCUAUUGUUAUCAUAUUUGUUGUUGAACAACAAGCACUGAAAAUUGGGAGGGGGCCAGGGGCAGGCAUGGGUUAUAAACAAAUAGUCUCAUAUGGGGCAAACUUCUGACAAGACGAUUUCGGCUUCUCAGUUCUUCGCUACUGCUGAUUUUUGUACUUCGUUUUUUUUUUUGGCCAGCGCAACAACCUCAGGCCGCGAAACAUAAGGUCAGGCCUGCGGUCAAUCGGCUAUUAUUGAGAUCAUUGUGAUAAUGCUUGACGAUUCCUUACCGUAAAAUGAUUGUGAUUAUUAUUGUUGUUUCAACGGUUGCUGCUGUUACUACCCCACUAUAAAUGGUAAAAGUAAUCACAUAGAAGUUGUUCCGUUUGUUUUGGUGGCCUUGAACCCUUAUAUACGGGGGGAUUAUCUAGACAGAAUCGACUUCAGACAAGUACAUACAUAGAUAUGAUAUAGCUAUAGCAUCGUUACAGACGAUGACAGCCACAACAGUAUCAGCGGCAGUAAUCCGCAAUGACAUCUGGGUAUUCACGGUUACAAAUUGAUAAUGGUGCAUCGGAGCUAGGAAAACGAGGCACGCAUUCAGUCGUCGUUUUGCUGUUACUGAUCAUGGUGCCGCAGCCGCCGUUGUUUUGAUCGUAGUCGUCUGCUACUUGAGAUAAACAGCGUUUCGAUAUCUAUCUGUUAUACCCCGGGGCCUGUCACAACUGCUGGUAAAUGGUCGGUCGGCGAAUAACAAAGUACCCGUACAACAGGUCGAUCGAACGCAUAUACAACUGUAGCUAACAAUGAUGCCCCAUAGUAUAUAAUGCGAUCGUUGAAAUGAUUUCACAGAACAGCCUGUUCCGAACGUCGUCGCUCAUUCACCACGUACAGUCGCUAAUAGAAGGAAUCAGUCAUUCGGAAUUGGGCUGCUGAAACCAUGCGACAGAGGAGUGACUACAGAAUGCAGUAAUCGUUCUAUUACCACCAGCCGAUAGACAGUUGGAGCGAAUUCCACAACGACACCCCGCCAGCUUCAUCGAGCUUUAAUAUAACAGUAAACCCAAAAAGCGAAGAGAAGCUUCCAAUAGCAGUAGCAGCAGCAGCAGCAGCAUUCGUCACGUCUACAUUGGUCUACGUUCAGACAGUAACGGGAGAAGAAAGAAGAGAUUGAAGAGGCAAUGCAUCUUGAAGUACGACAGCGCUGAAAGGCAGCUGAACCUCUGGCCUGCUCAGUCAGUCAGUCAGUCAGUCAGUCAGUGAGUUUUACAAUUUUGCCUCUCUUCAGGUUCGAACGACAGCCACGUCGUGAUAAUCGGUAGUGACCAUCGCUUGCGGACAGUACACCAUCCACCGAUGACGCCUAUAAGGAGAGUAAUAUAAUAGAAAACCAAAAAGUUGUAAAGAAGAUGAAAGCUCAAUGAAUGAUGAGAACCCAAUGGAAACUAUCGAAUCGUUAGAGUAAAAGUAACUAAAUGAAACGUAAGAGGAGCUGAUGAGUGAAGAGGACGAACGCGCACGCGAUAGAAAAAACGGUUGAUAUUCCGUUCGUCUACAUUUCGUAGAUGUUAAAGCUAAAGCGUGGUCUUCAGCGCGUACUUCGUUGCAAUCCGUAGUAGUCAUCAGUUGCCUAGACGUCGAUGGAGCGUCACAGCCAGCAAAGAAACGAGGGAAUUGUGAAGGAGAUAUAUAUUGAGUGAAGGAAUCGCAACAGCAGUCACGUACUAACAAUACGUCGCCUGUGGGCAAUGCGAGUAUUUGGCCGAGCGGUUCCGUUAUAUGAAUGUGGUAACAGCGGUAAGCUUACCACUAUCCCCAUCGCUUUUUUCAUUCAAUCUAUUAUGGACGCUCACAUGGAUACUAUUAUACUGCUGCGUUCAUGUGCGGAUGCCGAUGUCAUGUUUAUACCAGUGCGUCAGCAGGACCAAACUACGAUGAUAUAACGAUUCGAUCCGUUAUGAUCUUGUCGGGCCGUUUCUACAAAAAAGCCGCAGAAUGACGCAUCCAUAACUCUGUCUAGUAACACUACUAUGAAUAAAAUACUUCUCUUUUUUUUUUUUUUUUUUUGUAAAACUAUGAAUAUAAUAUGAAAAAUAUGAAAAACUGACGUUGUACACCCUUCUGGGCCUUUUAUCGAAGGAUCGUUCGAUAGGGUAUUCUCUCCCUAUUCGCCCCAUGUGGUCGUACUAAAACCAGGUAAUAUAUGUCUGUGUAUCUUCAUUGGCAGUCACAUAUUUGCUUUGUCGAGGCGUAUUACAUUGCUGGACCCAUUGAGCAAGCGCUCAUUACGAGGAUGGACACAUUGUAAUAUGUGAUGCUUACUGAAUGCAUGCAGUAGAAUGUCUAUGGUACAAGCGAUCGCAGGUUUUUGAGGACAGUUAAAAACCUAACAUGGAAUCAUCUGUCGUAAGCUGUCAACUAAAUUGUUUAUAAUUUAGGUAAACACGGGCUUGUUAGCGAUAGCUAUGUGAAAGCUCAAAUUUUAACUCAAUUUUAAUUAAGUUGGAAAUAAGAAUUUCCGUUUAUAUACAUGAUUAAUUAACCGCGCGUAUGGCUUCGACUCAUCAUAAGGAGAAGUAGCCGAAAACCUUAGCCAUAAGUUACGCGUAUCUUUGUAAUCUCCACAACCUGUUGGGAUUCACAUACCCUUUAACAUGCUGCAGUCCGUUCUGCUGCAUUCGACUGCAUCUGGCGACCUUUCAUAUUCAACGAAUUGUUGUUCACUCUGUCAGCAUGUAGCGCAUCCAACAAUAUACAGCAAUAAAGUAAUGGAUUAGCCCGCGCGUUGCCCUAGAACUAUUCAUCUCGCACCAACACGUCACUUCUACGUUAGACGUGCGUAGGUUUAGCAAUUGAAUCCAGUCAAUUUACCUCAUAUAGUAACAUAAUACAUGCGCUCUGCUUAUAAUUAUAAGCGUAUUGAUAUUAUGUCCAUCUGAAAUCAUUCAGCUCCGAUAAAUACAGUCGACAUUGUUGAUAACACUGGGUACACGACAGAAGAGGCGGCUUCGUUCCUAUAUACUACUUAAGAUGGUGACUAAUACUUGUUGUCCACGAAAGGCUUUCCUACUUCAUAAACAAAUAACGAUGAUACGAUUUACGCUGUGCAUUUUACGCACAGCUCGAAAGUAAAUACGAAGAAUAUGUUAGUCAUCGCUUGUUGAUUACUGUAGGAAGAGGUAAAGAUUUUUUCUGCAUGCUAUCUCCUAUUUCUCCCCUGCCUACUCCCUGAAAACUCGUUGAUGAUUGGCAAAAAACAUACUAAGCUUCCUUGACAUCCGUCAGUGAGUGGGUCAUGCAGUCAUUUUUUCUUUCUUCAUUUUUAAAUGAGCCGGUCUGUCCGUUUGCCAGUCAACCUUCCUAUACGCAAUUGUUUUCUAGCGAUGACGCUUAGGAAUCGUCAGUAUUAUAGCUAUCCAUCGACGCCGUUACUGUUCUUAGGCUUCCGGGCUUGUUGUGCAGAGUUUACGGUUUGAACAUGUAGACGGGCAGGACAUAGUUCUUAGCCUUUUGCCGCCAACAGAAGGCCGUAUAUAGAAAAGAAUAACAGGAUUCCUAUUGUAUGAACAUUUAUCCAUCAAUAUGUAAUCAGACAUCGGACGGCUAUAUUGAAUAGCCAAAAACACUGUCCUCAUCACAAUAAUGAUGACGCCAGCAUCGAUAAUGAACUGACAGAGAGUGAAAUGCCAGUCAAACCACAGAGACAUCACAGAAUUGUUUUUGUACAAUUUUUUGCUUUAUUAAACGCUCCCUUAUAUAGGUACAAAUGAUGCCAGUGAUGGCGGCGAUAUGAACGUAGUGAUUCCCGCUUAUGUAUGUGAGUAUAUCUAUUUUAAUGUGUGUAUAGAAAUGCUGCGUGUUUUGUGCUGUUUGUGAGUUUUACACUCGCCCAUUCAGACGAAGCAUGGGGCAAAAGUGCUCGUUGACAUCAUGGUAGCGCUAGGUUUAUUUGGCAUGAUUCGUAAAAGGAAAACAACCCUAUUUACCGUUUAAACAACAAUAAACACCCUAACUGCUUAAUAAUUAUAAUAGUGACGAUCUCAGUAAUAAUAAUACUAAUAAUAUGGUGCCUACGAUUCUAUUUCUACUGUUACUACUAAUAUCACUACUAGGGACAAUUGCAAUAAGAAUAAUCAGCCUCAUUUUCGUGUUGUCCUUACCCAGUUGUUCGGUUUACCAUUUACUAGGCCUCCUUGAAUUUUGUCUAUUUUUGUGCCUGUAAUAGGUACCUCUGCCAACAUAAGAUCAGCACUGCAUAGCACAUUGUGUUUGUGCAAACACUUUCCUCGUUAGACGUCUUUUUUCUUUGAUAAUGUUGACAGAUGGCAGGGCCUGGCUGUUACCCAUCCGCAUUCGCAGUAGUUCCAAAAAUGAAAAUGGCCGUUCUCACCAAGCUGCACGCUGCUCCCAGCGCAUCGUAUUCCUUGGAUCUAUCUUUCACCCAGUGUCCUUCUACCCUUAUAUAGCCUGCGUGCGGACUCAAUCGGUCUCUCGGUGUACAACAAGGUCAUGUCCAAUAGCAGACGCUAGGUGAACCUGAGUAAACAAGCUUAGUUUUUAACUGCAUAAUUACCAUGCAAGUACAGUAUAAUCUAGUGUGUUGCUAUAAUCUAGUGUGCAGCAUAAUGCUGCUACCUCUAGUGCCAUUCUUGUUGAUAAUAUUGUGUAACGCAUCAUCAGCACCUAUCGAUGUCAGUUGUAUUCGAAGCCAGUGGGCAGCGUCAUCGUAACACAGUCACAUCGUCUCAGUUCUCGCUUCAGCUCCCGCUAACAACUAUACACAGCAGCAUAAACUGCUUACUGUUUAGCUUUGUUCUGCAAACGACUCUGCUUUUUCAGCUUCGACAGAUACACCAUCGUCGUCGUCGUCGUCUUCAACCUAAACAUCGACAUCAAUAUGAUCGUCAUAUGGGCACGUUAUCAUUAGGGAAGAUGAUGAGACAAUCUUCGUCGGCUAGGAGUUGUGCAGCUAUUAGCUUGAUGCGAUUGGUGCCGGCUGAGGGUGAUGAGGGUACGGGGGUAAUAAUGGUUGGGCUUUGGCUAAUAGCGAUGCGCCGCUUAUAGUUCAGUGUGGUCCAAUCCGAUUUAGUCCUUGACUUGAUGUAGCGGUUUGUCUAUAUGAUUCGCCUGUGCAAAGCAAGCGUUUGUAUUUGUAUGUUCAUACUAUGAAAUAUCUACCUAUGUACGUCUGUUCGUACGUCAGUCAAGAUAGCAGUCAACGGCGGUCGCUGCCGCUGCUAGUGCUGUUUCAGUGACGGUUAUCGGCAUCAUCGUAGACUGUUUUAAAUAUAGUCAUUAUUUCGUAGGUCAUACGUACCAUAAUAGAUAUAAACUCGUAGCUAAUCAUCAUAGCGUCGAUUAUUUUUCUCUCUCUCCUACCCUUCUUGGCCGCUUUGCAACAAAAUAAUAUAAGUACGCGAACAACUGAAGGCGCAUCUGCGUGGACACACUUUAGUUAGGUAUAUAUACAUAUAUGUGUGCAACCGAUUGAUAAAUUCGAAUUUUCCUAUCCAUGCCUCGUAGGCGAAAGCUGCAGCGCUUUUAGAAACAGCAAAUUUUAUCGCGAAAUUCUAAUCCCGGUAGUAUACGAAAUACGUGAAAACAAUUUCACACGAUUGUGUACGUAUUAGGCAAAGGUGAAAAGCAUUCGAGCGAUGGGGUAAAUUAUACUUUGGGCUGAUUGGAAGAACCAUCAUUAUUUAUUUGCACGGGCAAAUAUUAACAGCCCAGUAAAAAAAUCUGCUCCUUACCAGACUAGCUUUUCUUGCUAUCAUAGCAAUUAGACAUGAUAGGAUCCUUGGUCAGAGUUGGAAGGCCCUGUGGUUGAGACAGUUACAUCCUACGUGAACUUCUUCGGGUUCAGUAUACUAUUUAAAGGUAAUUUAUAAUACUGAUAAAACGGCAACAGCUGUUCAGGCUCAGUAGGUAAAAGAAUCCGCUAACACGACACUUGGCCAUAAGCAACAUGCCUUGAAAGACUUUUUGGCCCUCUAAAAAUUUGAAGUCCUCUUGGGAGCUUGUUUAGAUUAUUUGGCCGGUACAAAACCUCUUUAAGAUAUGUCUGGUCAUUCGAAAGAGCGAAAAUCAAUAUUGUCCGGACCCUCACUGUUUGUUAAUCCGUGAAAAAAAAAACAAGUAAAUCGACCUGAAUCUGACCUUAUUUAAACGGAUAUUCAAUGUAUUCCUUUUGGUACUUUUAUUUAUGGCUUUUACUUCUCAGAUGAUGAAUACUAUUAUUUUAUUUCUAGGUGCCAACGUAGUUAAUAUAUGCAGUUAAUUUUUAUCGCUUUUAU